rnacentral:rRNA from 1 species
GGAAGGAACUCGGCAAACCUCAGCCCCGCCUGUUUACCAAAAACAUCGCCUCUUGCCUCAAUAAGAGGUCCCGCCUGCCCAGUGACCCAAUUCAACGGCCGCGGUAUCCUGACCGUGCGAAGGUAGCGUAAUCACUUGUUCUUUAAAUAAGGACUAGUAUGAACGGCACCACGAAGGCUGUACUGUCUCCCGCCUCUAAUCAGUGAACUUAAUCUCCCCGUGAAGAAGCGGGGAUAAAACCAUAAGACGAGAAGACCCCAUGGAGCUUAAAACAAAAGGCACCUGUUAACAACAAAGUUAAACGACUUGACCUGACGUUUUCGGUUGGGGCGACCACGGAGAACAACCCACCCUCCACGCUGAAAGAUGAUAAUCUUAGCCAAAACAACCUAUUUAAGCACCAGAAUCCUGACAUUCAUUGACCCAAUCUAAUUGAUCAACGAACCAAGUUACCCUGGGGAUAACAGCGCAAUCCACUUCAAGAGCCCCUAUCGACAAGUGGGUUUACGACCUCGAUGUUGGAUCAGGGUUCCCAA